CUCUUUUACAGUUGUUGAACAAGAUUUGUAGGACUGCGUGGGUCUCACAUCGGUACUGUGAAGACCCCAUGAGAGAAAGAGUUCUCUAAACAAGAACUGAGAGGAUAUAUGUAUAUGUGCCUAGCUCCCUGCAGUGCAUAGAGUGGAGCAGAGAAGACAGCCAUGUGCUGGCCUGGCUGGCUGCCUCACAUGGAUGUAACAGGUCUUACCCAGGUGUUCAGUCAUCUCCAAUUAUGAGAGAGGCCCCACCUCCAAACCCAGCUUAAGUUCCCACCAUCUCAACAACAGACUCUGAGAAUUAAUCAGUCACCUGCCUGAGGCUGAGAAGCAGAGAAUGGCUAACACACUUCGCUAGAGGAGCCUGCGCUGCGUUUUGUGAGGGUCAUCCAUACUGUUCUCUACAAUGGCUGGAAUCAGUAGUAACAGCUGGUGGGGACCAUGUUGACAACAGAACUUGACGUAAGCCACGGCAAUAAUGUGAAUCAACAUAGAGUGAGAAUCUGUGGAGAAAGUUAACAACUGAGGGAUCUGAAAGAAGGCUGCGUGGGAUGAGGGGGCUCCUAACUUUCCUAAAGGUCUCCUUAUGUAGCCAGGACACAUGGAACAACUGGAGACCCUCCUGCCUCUGCCUCCCAAAUGCUGGAUUACAGAAGUACACUGUAGCUGUCUCCAGACACACCAGAAGAGGACAUCAGAUCCCAUUACGGAUGGUUGUGAGCUACCAUGUGGUUGCUGGGAUUUGAACUCAGGGCCUCUGGAAGAGCAGUCAGUGCUCUUAACCACUGAGCCACCUCUCCA
ensembl:lncRNA